AACAAUGAUAAAUAAUAGCUAAAUAUUGUGUAUUAUUCUUUCCUGUUGUGUCCAAGAAUUAAUUCAAGUAGGAGGCCAAAGCUCUCCUCUAAGUUGGAUACACCUGAAUGCAUCGCUCUUGUUUUAACAAAAUUGAAAAUGCAGGAGUGCACCAGGAGCAAGAAAAGAUAUUGCCCCAAGGACUCGCCUUAAAUACCCAAUGCGACUUUGACAAGCCUCAUUAAGGAUGGAUACAUCGAUGGAGAGCUGUAAUAAGGCUUGUAAUAAAACAAUGCUUUUGCAUUUUGGUUCUCUUA